AACGAACGCUGGCGGCAUGCCUAACACAUGCAAGUCGAACGAGACCUUCGGGUCUAGUGGCGCACGGGUGCGUAACGCGUGGGAACCUGCCCUUAGGUUCGGAAUAACUCCCGGAAGGGGUUCUUAUAACCGGAUAAUUUCUUCGAACAAAGAUUUAUCGCCUUUGGAUGGGCCCGCGUUGGAUUAGCUUGUUGGUAGGGUAAAAGCCUUACAAGGCGAAGGUCCAUUGGUGGGCGGGGGGGAGGAUCAGCCCACCUGGGACUGGAGCACGGCCCCAACCCCUACGGGAGGAAGCAGUGGGGAAUAUUGGACAUGGGGCGAAAGCCUGACCCAGCAAUGCCGGGUGAGUGAUGAAGGCCUUAGGGUUGAAAAGCUUUUUUCCCCGGGAUGAUAAGGAAAGGCCCGGGAGAAAAAGCCCCGGCGAACCCCGG
rnacentral:rRNA from 1 species